UACAGAGGGUGCAAGCGUUAAUCGGAAUUACUGGGCGUAAAGCGUGCGUAGACGGUCAUGUAAGUCGGGUGUGAAAGCCCCGGGCUCAACCUGGGAAUUGCAUUCGAGACUGCAUGGCUAGGAUGCGGAAGAGGGAAGCGGAAUUUCCGGUGUAGCGGUGAAAUGCGUAGAUAUCGGGAGGAACACCAGUGGCGAAGGCGACUACCUGGCCUGUUCUUGACGCUGAGGCGAGAAAGCUAGGGGAGCAAACGGG
rnacentral:rRNA from 1 species